GUAUCCCUUGGAGUUCCUCCUGCCGCUUCAGUAAUGAUGUAUUGCUAACUAUCUUUGGCGAUAUUACUGAAGGGUUUGGAGGAACUCUAGGUGUCAC